rnacentral:misc_RNA from 1 species
ACAUGGGAUCAGGAUAUUUCAACUGAGGUGGAUAUGAAUAGUCAUUCUCCACAACCUGAGGCAUCUAAAUGCGGUAGCACUCAAGAUCAGGAUGAGGAUUUUCUCACUAAGAAACCAUUGCAUGUGCCACUAUCAAAGGAAGAUGCUGCAUUCAUCAAACAGUGCAACCUUGAUGUGCCAGAUUGCGAAAUAAGAUCCAACACUUCAUGUAAAGCAUCGAAUUUGAAAAAACCUAAGAGGAGACUUCCGCCCGUAUCAUCCAUAUUACUGAGGGACAUCUCUGCUUUGGGAAUUGAGGAUGAGCCCCAGAAACCAAAAGGGAAUAGAGGUGGAAAGAAAUUGUCUGCUGGUGAAAGAACUCAGGGCAGCAUCUCUCUCAUACGUUUGCUUCAGAGCAAUCUUCGUCUCUAGCACUAACUCGUUUUCAAGUUUUACAUUUAUUUUUCAUAUUGCUUAGUAUAUAAAAAUGUUGAUUCUGCACGGAAUGAGAGGUCUUUUUUGGUCUUUGAUGCGGCCUCCCUCUCUCUCUCUCUCUCUUAGUCUAGCUAGUCUUUCGAGGCCCGGAAAAGUAUUAAGGCAAAAAAGGGUAGCUCUUGUCAUUGGGCCAGUAGUGGUGGGCUGGUGGUGUGCAUAUAUUGUACUGAAACAAUGCUAUUCAAAACUUGAAAGUUUUAAAUUAAGUAGAAAAAUAGAAGUUAUUUUUUCUAUCAAAUUUCAAUGAAGGACUGAGUUCUACAUGGAAGGAAAAAAAAA